ACCAUUGCAGUGUUGCGACUGUAAGAUAUUUAAAAAAAAAUAAUUUCCCGCAACAAAAGCUGAAUUAAAACAGUUUACAAACCGUUGUUACUCCGCCAUAGCAAAAACAAUCGGGCAAUAUUAUUUUAUUUUGCGGAAUAAGUUUCCGUAAAAUUUUAAAACUUAAUCAUGACAGUGGGCCGAGAACGCAUAAUACCCUUUUCAUAAAAAACUUUACUGCAAUUUCGGUUUAACUUAAAACACAGGAAAAAUCCAGUCGUUACCCCAUAAAAAAACUAAAAAAACUCCAUAAUUGGAGUGCUCUAGUACAGGUAUGCAGAAUAUGUCGUGAAUUGAGUAAAGCUCACACAACAUUAUAGUGUUUCGGUUGUAAUGUACUUUUGAAAAUAUAUGUAUAUAUAUAACUUUACUGCAACUUUAACCGAAAUAAAAACACAGUUUACAACCUGUUGUUACCCCGUCAUAAGAAAAGAAAAUAGUCAAUAUUAUUUUAUUUUGCGGAGUACGUUUCAGUAAACCUUAACAAAUUAAUCAUGACACCGGACUGAGCACUUAGUACAGGUAAAUGGUGUCACACAUGCGUUAUAGCCAUAAUAGCCUUUUCCCAAAAAAACUUAUCGCAACUUCAAUUUAAAUAAAAAACACACAAAACACCCUGUUGUUAACACCAGGUUGAAUGUUUAUUACAGGCCUACAAACCUCACACACUGACCACAAACACGACCAUUAUCAAAAUGGCCUUCGUUCCGCGAAGAUCUUGGAUUCUUUCUGGUCGCGAAAAUCUUGGGUUUUUUUUAAAGAAUCAGGCGUUGUGAAUGGUAUUCCACGCGCGAGCGGUCAAAACAAAGUCAGUAAAAAUAUAUCGCAUUUGGUAUCGGCGCGUAAUUUACAAAAUUUCGUGUUUCCGUUACGGGACGCCUUUUUCCCGGACAGACAGACAAAAUAAGGCUAUUAUUAAAGAGACUAGCCGGGAAACCCGGCGUCGAAACGCCGGGUUAAGCCACAAGUAAAGGUGUGAUCCGGCAUUGAACACUCUGUGGAGCGCUUAAUAAGAGCUGUAAACUGUCCCACACGAUCAGGUGGAGCGCUUUAGUACAGGUAUACAGUAUGUCGUUAAUCAUUUGAAGCGCAUACAACAUUAUAGUGUGCGACUGUAACAUAUUUUUCAAAAAAUAACUUUCCCGCAACGAUAACUGAUAUAAAAACAGAGUUUACAAAGUGUUGUUACUCCAUCAUAGCAAAAACAAUCGGUCAAUAUUAUUUUAUUUUGUGGAAAAGUCUUUUUAAAAGUUAAAAAAUUAAUCGUGACACUGGGCUGAGCGUUUAGUACAGUUAAACCGUGUUGUACAGCGUAUAGUAAUAAUACCCUUUUGAAAAAAACUUUCUCGCAGACACAGGGCUGAGCGGUUAGUCCAGGCGUGAUUCCCAAGAAAGUUUAAAAAUUAAUUGUCACAGUGGUGGGCUGACCUUAGUAUAUACAGGUAAACGGUGUUGCACAUGCCCAUAGGCGUAACAGCCUUUUACAAAAAACAGUCUGUUUUUAACACUGGGCUAACCGCUUAGUACAGUUAAACACAGUUGAACAGGCGCAUAAGGCGUAUUACCCUUUUCCAAAAAUGUUCAUUGCAACUUCGGUUUAAAUAAAAACACAGGGAACAGCCUGUC